GAUGAAGAACGCAGCGAAAUGCGAUAAGUAAUGUGAAUUGCAGAAUUCAGUGAAUCAUCGAAUCUUUGAACGCACAUUGCGCCCGCCAGCAUUCUGGCGGGCAUGCCUGUUCGAGCGUCAUUUCAACCCUCAAGCUCUGCUUGGUGUUGGGGCCCUACGGUUGACGUAGGCCCUUAAAGGUAGUGGCGGACCCUCUCGGAGCCUCCUUUGCGUAGUAACUAACGUCUCGCAUUGGGAUUCGGAGGGACUCUUGCCGUAAAACCCCCAAAUUUUCUAAUGGUUGACCUCGGAUCAGGUAGGAAUACCCGCUGAACUUAAGCAUAUCAAUAAGCGGAGA
rnacentral:misc_RNA from 1 species